AAAUUAUUACUUAAGAUCAUGAAGUUAAACAACUAUUGAUAUCAUCUAAGCAUAUAUAUAGUACUAAUAGCAGCUUUUAUUUACCAAAACAAUUGAUCAUAUAAAAAUAUAGAUAACCUUUCCAGCACAUGGCACAAGACCACGUAGCGUAUCCAGAUGAGCAUUGAUCCUCUCUCUCCUCCUCCUCUCAGCCUCACUAUGGCUCUUCAAAGCUGCCACAUCUUUCACCUCCAAAACCCCAUCUUUCUUCUCCACUCCCCCAGGAGCCUUCACGAGUUCCCCUUUCUCCCCAUCCAACACCAAAGUAUGCGAAUUCAACAUUGACCCACUUCCCAAAUUCCCACCCAGACUCCCCCAAAACUGCUCCAC
rnacentral:lncRNA from 1 species